UACAGAGGUGGCGAGCGUUGUUCGGAUUUACUGGGCGUAAAGGGUGCGUAGGUUGUUUUGUAUGUCGGAUGUGAAAGCCCACCGCUCAACGGUGGAACUGCAUUCGAAACUGCGGAACUAGAGUGCAGGAAGGGAGAGCGGAAUUCUUGGUGUAGCGGUGAAAUGCGUUGAUAUCAAGAAGAACACCGGUGGCGAAGGCGGCUCUCUGGAAUGUAACUGACACUGAUGCACGAAAGCUGGGGGAGCAAACAGGAUUAGAUACCCCCGUA
rnacentral:rRNA from 1 species